CAACGCACACUUCAAAAUUAUUAUGGGUCUAUCCGGUUUAUUAUUAUGUACUGGUAAAUGCAACACUAUACUAAAAAUAGGUUGUUUCUUCAUAAAGCGCAACAUUGCCGCCCUACAAUAGAAACAUGCAAAGAAGCUGUAAUUCUGCUGUUGUAGCCAUUUUACUGUUGUUUUGCAAUAAACUUGAUGCGCAAGGUUCCUGCUGUUAUCGCUCAAAGGAUUCUGUAGCAAUUGAUAGCAUUAACAUCAAGGCAACAUUUCUCACAAUUGAUCUUUACGAUACAAAAUGGGAUUUACAGGUCAACAUAUCUUGGACACCUGUUGAAGGUUACAACAGAUAUAUUGUUGAACUCGAGACGUAUAGCGCCCCCUCCUCUAGCAAUGCAUUUUGUAAUCCACUGACUUCGUGUACUUUUGACGGUGUAUCGGUAAGUUGCAGCACAUAAUAUAAAUCUCAA